rnacentral:ncRNA from 1 species
ACAAAGGCAUUGACGGGGAGGAGUAAGCUGUUUUUUCUGGAAACAGCGAGACCGGGAAGGUGGAAGCCGGUCCCAGAUGGCAGCCGAAGAUCGCCCCUGAGCAGCGCUCUGAAAUUCGUAAAGAAAAGUAGGAGCUGCCGUGAGCUACGCGUUAUGUGCUUUGAGUGAACCGCUUAAUCCAGCGGUUUACUAAGGUGGUACCGCGGGUAGAAGCCUCUCGUCCUUAGG